UACGUAGGGUGCAGGCGUUAAUCGGAAUUACUGGGCGUAAAGCGUGCGCAGGCGGUUUCUUAAGUCAGAUGUGAAAGCCCCGGGCUUAACCUGGGAAUGGCAUUUGGGACUGCAAGGCUGGAGUGCGGCAGAGGAGACUGGAAUUCCUGGUGUAGCAGUGAAAUGCGUAGAUAUCAGGAGGAACACCGAUGGCGGAAGGCAGGUCUCUGGGCUGACACUGACGCUCAUGCACGAAAGCGUGGGGAGCAAACAGGAUU
rnacentral:rRNA from 1 species